GUUUCUGUAGUGUAGUGGUCAUCACGUUCGCCUAACACGCGAACGGUCCUCAGUUCGAAACGAGGCAGAAACG